CCACUUGCUCAGGUGGUGCGCGAUGGUGAUACUGCUCCUUCACUCGCCUAUUACUUAAAUAACUAUGCAUGUGGCACAAAAAGGUACGUAUGUAGAUCCCAUGCAUCAUAAAGUGACUCUCUUUAAUCCGAUUAGCACAUCCGCACCCACAGCCAGCUAAACGCACAUCCGAGAGUUCCUCACAAGAACCACACCUACGAUUCCUUUGUGGUCGCAGGUUCUCACGCCUCCAUCGUCGUCGUCGUCGCCAUCAUCAUCGUCUCAAGAAUCUCAUCGCACCCCAGCAACCCACCCAGAAGAAGAAGAAGGCUUCCUUUGGUCACCUCCCGACCCCAUUUCAUUUCAUGGCAUGCCCACAAUAACGGACUGAAGGGGGCAGCGACUGGAUGUGCCCAUUCACAAAAUGAUAACGUUUCCUUGGCUUGAGCUGGAUUUAUUCUUCCUCCUUGCCAACGAUUUUGGGUGAAAAGAAUGGAUCGAAUUCUUGAGCGCCUCUGUCCUUCGCUGCAAAAAAAAAUGUCGUCGCAGUCUAUCAGGCAUUUGCCCACCCGGACGAUCGUGAUAUUCGUGAUGCAGCAGCACAAGCCAGGAAAAUGAUGCACAUCUACAUCUGCAAAUGGCCAGAGGGACGUGGUGUGGUAAUAAUAAUAAUAAUAGCAUCUCUCCGCCAGUUGGUGAGAUGCGGCGCCAGGCCGUCACAAGAGAGAGACUGGACAUUUCACAGGCUACUCGCAAAGGUCACAUCACUUGUGGACUCGGCUCCCAAUUAAUAUUCCAAUCAACGGCGGAUCAAUGGCUUUCUGCCCAGCAAGGUGAACUCCAUCAGGCAGCAGACACAGGACAUAGACGUGAGAUUUUUUUAUACGUGACUAACUUUUUUUGUGCCCCACAUUAAGCAUGCCAGACCACUCACUACCCAUUUUCUACCAGCUUUAUGCUGAUCGUCGUAAUCGUGCCAAUACCCAAAACAACCCGUAUCCCUUUUAUCAAUGUUCAUUUAUUAGCAAAAUUCACAGAGACAAAACAAGAAGCCAUUUCAUCCACUCAAUCCGAAUUCGCGUCGUCGUCGUUUCCUUCUAAUACUUUGCCAUUUUGAUGGAAUCCUUGAGCGCAGCCAGGACGCGAUCCACCUUCUCCGGAUAAGCAUUAUAGCCCAUCAAACCGAU